rnacentral:rRNA from 1 species
UACGGAGGGUGCAAGCGUUAUCCGGAUUCACUGGGUUUAAAGGGUGCGUAGGCGGGCAGGUAAGUCAGUGGUGAAAUCCCCGAGCUUAACUCGGGAACUGCCAUUGAUACUAUCUGUCUUGAAUAUUGUGGAGGUAAGCGGAAUAUGUCAUGUAGCGGUGAAAUGCUUAGAUAUGACAUAGAACACCUAUUGCGAAGGCAGCUUACUGCGCAUAUAUUGACGCUGAGGCACGAAAGCGUGGGGAUCAAACAGG